GUACAACCCACUCGGGUGUGCUUCCGUGUUGUGGAGUCUUUGUUCUUGUAGUCUUUGCAAUAAAUGCUGCUGCUCACUCUUUGGGUCCACACUGCCUUUAUGAGCUGUAACACUCACCACGAAGGUCUGCAGCUUCAUUCCUGAAGCCAGUGAGACCACAAACCCACUGGGAGGAACAAACAACUCCAGACGCGCCACCUUAAGAGCUGUAACAUUCACCGCGAAGGUCUGCAGCUUCAGUCUGAGACAGCGAGACCACGAACCCUCCAGAAGGAAGAAACUCCGGAUACGCUGCCUUUAAGAACUGUAACACUCACCGCGAGGGUCCGCGGCUUCAUUCUUGAAGUCGGUGAGACCGAGAACCCACCAAUUCCAGACACAGAACGAAUCAACCAAGGAUGGAAAGCCCCUCUUUGAGCUGAAGGACUAGAGGAACAAAAGACUCAGCCCCAAGGUUAUCCG
rnacentral:lncRNA from 1 species